rnacentral:rRNA from 1 species
UACCAGCACCCCGAGUGGUCGGGACGUUUAUUGGGCCUAAAGCAUCCGUAGCCGGUUCUACAAGUCUUCCGUUAAAUCCAACUGCUUAACAGGUGGGCUGCGGAAGAUACUAUAGAGCUAGGAGGCGGGAGAGGCAAGCGGUACUCGAUGGGUAGGGGUAAAAUCCGUUGAUCCAUUGAAGACCACCAGUGGCGAAGGCGGCUUGCCAGAACGCGCUCGACGGUGAGGGAUGAAAGCUGGGGGGGCAAACCGG